AAACGAAUAAGGAAAUGAAAUCGAAAAAGGAAAUAGAAACAGAAUAAGGAAAUGAAAAUCGAAAAAGGAAAUAGAAAACGAAUAAGGAAACGAAAAAAAUGAGGAAAAAAAAAUUUGAGGAAAAUAUUUUUGAGGAAAAAAUUUUUGAGAAAAAAAAUUUAAGGAAAAAAAAAUUUUGAGGAAAAAAUUUUGUGAAAAAAAAUUU
rnacentral:lncRNA from 1 species